AAAUGGAAUAUUAUUUGGCUCUAAAGAAAAUUGGAAUAGGGCUGGAGAGAUGGCUCAGCUGUUAAAGGCUAGGCUCACAACCAAAAACAUA
rnacentral:miRNA from 1 species